UUACUCUGGUUUCUCUUCAAAGCGUAUAAGUCUUUCGCCUUUUACUAAAGACUUCCGUGGAGAGGAACACCUACGAGUUCAACCUAUUUUUGGUAGGCUUGGCCGUUUGGCUGAGCA